GGGCACGUAGCUCAGUGGUUAGAGCACGGCUCUUAUAAAGCCGGGGUCCUUGGUUCAAAUCCAAGCGUGCCCA
rnacentral:tRNA from 1 species